UACGGGGGGUGCGAGCGUUGUCCGGAAUCACUGGGCGUAAAGGGCGCGUAGGUGGUUUGAUAAGGGUGUGGUGAAAGUCCGGGGCUCAACCCCGGAUCUGCCGUGCCGACUGUCAAACUCGAGGACUGUGGAGGCAGACGGAAUUCCGGGUGUAGCGGUGGAAUGCGUAGAGAUCCGGAGGAAGACCGGUGGCGAAGGCGGUCUGCUGGGCAGUUUCUGACACUGAGGCGCGACAGCGUGGGGAGCAAACAGG
rnacentral:rRNA from 1 species